UCGAGAAUUUUUCACAAUGGGCGCAAGCCUGAUGGAGCGACGCCGCGUGGGGGAUGAAUGGCUUCGGCCCGUAAACCCCUGUCAUUCGCGAUCAACCCUUAUUAUUUAAAAGAUGCUAAGCUGAUAUUAGUACAGGAAUAAGCCACGGCUAACUCCGUGCCAGCAGCCGCGGUAACACGGGGGUGGCAAGCGUUGUCCGGAAUUACUAGGCGUAAAGGGCAGGUAGGCGGAUCAGUAAGUCGGACGUUUAAUCCUCGGUCUUAAGCUGAGACAUGCGUUUGAUACUGUUGAUCUAGAAUGCGGCGGGGGAAGACGGAAUUCCGGGUGUAGCGGUGGAAUGCGCAGAUAUCCGGAGGAACACCGAAGGCGAAGGCAGUCUUCCAUACCGUAAUUGACGCUGAACUGCGAAGGUGUGGGGAUCAAACA
rnacentral:rRNA from 1 species